rnacentral:misc_RNA from 1 species
GGGGGGAAAAACAGGCGCGAGAAUCAAAAUUCCCAAAGAAAACCAUAGGAAGGACUUAAAGAGAAAGACACACAGCUCGUGGGCCGUGGCUUACAUUUGCAGCGACGCUUUUAAUUCUAGGGCAAAUUAUCCUCGUUUUGGAUUUUGAUUGAGAUAAUGGUCACUAAUCCAAAUUCCUAGGGGAGAGAAAGUGUUGCAAGAGAGAGGGACGCUUCCUAACUCGGUGCUGUGCUCUAGCUACCCAAUAUUGCAUUUGAGGUUUGGAAAUACAAUAUCUAAGAGACUUGCAUUAAGGUAAGAACAUGAGCUCAUCAGGGAUAGAGCCAGAGGCGCCUGAUCUGGUGUGCCAGCUUGACAAUGUCCAAGGCAUGGUCGAUGCCUUCUCUGCAGUUCGAUGGAAACGCCAGCAGGUCUGGACCAACAGAACCUAAUAGAGUCUAUUCAGGAGUCUUUUCCCCUCUCUUCUCAAUGUCCCCUUCACAUUUCCGGUUGCUAGUUCUCUAGGUUUUUUAGCAGUUCCAUAUGGACAUUUUUAUCCAUCUUUAUUGUUACAUUUAGGAUGCAGUAGUGGAAUUAUCAGAGCAUGGCAUUGUUUUGAUAGUUGAGGAGAUUGGUUGUCUUCAAGCUAAAGUUUAUCUCCAAAAAGAGCUUUUUGUCCAAUAUGAAUAUAAUGCUCAAGGGCGGCCUAGGUUUGGAGUGAGCUUGGGGCUUUUUGUUGAUUGCUUGAACACAUUUUCAGUUCCCGGACAUUCAACUGCAAUUGAAAUUCGAUAUCCUGGACCAGACAUGCAGCUUCUUCUGAAGUCUGUUGAUUCACUAGAUGCCUGUAUUUAUGCGGAAAUCAGGACAAGAAUUCCAGAUACAAUUUCAUGGGACUACAACUUUGAACCUGCGGGAACUACACCAUUAAGUUUUACUGUUAAGUCUGCAGCACUGAAGGAAGCUAUUGAUGAUCUUGAAUGGCCAGGAUCCAGCAUCCAGAUUAUUCUAAAACCGGUGCCCCCAUCUGUAACCUUUAGAGGUGAAGGCCAUGGAGACUUGCAGAUAGACUUCAUGUAUUAUAUAAAUACUGAUCUGUUAAUUGCAUUCCAUUGUGAUCACGAAGUUUCUUACAGGUACAAAUACAAGUUCCUUCGAGCAACCACUUCUAAUAUACCCAGCAGUGUUAUUAAAGACAACCGAGGAAGCAAGUUGACCAUUGGGAGAGGUGGAAUGUUGAAAGUUCAGCACCUGGUUUUGGUUGGAAGAUCAUCUAUUUCACAUCCGCACGUUGAUUCUGCUGGCUAUCAACAACCUAGUCGAAUAGCUUUUAUUGAGUUCUUUGUGAGGCCGGAGGAAAAUGAAGGCCCCAUACAUGAUUGACAGGUUUUCUAUAUUAUUUUUCAUUUUAUAUUAUAUAUAUAACAAUCCUCAUACGUUAACGGUUCAAUAGAUGUUAUCUGCCCACGGGCCUUUUACCGCCACUUUCUGUUGUACUUAUGUGUUAUUCUGGUCUGUCUAGAGGUUCUAAAUGAUAACCAGGUCCAGACCCAAUCACUUGCUCUUCUCUAGCAACUAGACAAAUACCAUCCUCAAAUCGUUUCAUUUUGUGUGAUGUUUGGAUUAGGAAGC